AGAGUACAGUUUGUCAGCACAGUGUCAUGGGUAUAUGAAGAGGCAGACCAAUGCCUGUCACUAUGCUCAAAACUACUGGAAUAUCCCAUCACUGAACAGCUAAUUCCCACCCCAUUAGCAUUGUCUCAGUCACUUCUCCAUAUAUUCAUUGUUGUUCUUCACAGAGUGUCGCUGAGCUUGUGGUAAAGGGAAACCGCAGAGACAGUUCCACACUCUUCCUCAGUCUGGUGAUGGAGAAGGGUAACUGUGCCCGGUGGGUGAUGUGGGAAUCCUUUGUGAAAAUGCAGAAUGAAUUACCAAAACUGAACAAAAUACUGAAAGAAAUCCAGGAGCUCGGUCCUGAUCCAGAAGAAUACAUGAACAUCACCAGAGGUUUAACUGAAUUACCCUCUCAUAUGGAAGAUGUUCAACAGAAACACAAGGAGACUCUGCGAGCACAGACUG